GUCUGCGUUGGUAAAAUAUAUAUAUAUAACCUCACGAAGCUAAUAUCAAUCUUACAGUUAAUCUUUUUUUAGAAAAUGUCAUCAUAAAAAAUAUAUUUAGGCCCACAAGUCUACACACUACAAUGUUAAAAAUACAUUUAAAAUAUUUUGGAUGUGCUGAAUAUUUAUCGUAACGCCGGUCCUACAAUGAGAAUUACUUUAGCCCUAAUCUAAAUCUGCAGUGUGAUGUGCUUUGCAACUACUUGUUUGUUAGCAAAAAUAAAAAUAGGAAAAUUCACGGAUUCUAAAAUCAGAUUCGCAUCUUCUUAGUAAAGUUAACGUGACUGAUCAGACCUAUGAAUUUUCAAACAUUGUCAGCAAUGUUUUUUUCCAUUGUGAUGGAAGACACUUCAUAAAUAAAAACUGAACAGAAUUGGCACUAAACGAAACUAAAAAAUCGGGUACCUUUUUAAAGUUUUCUGUAUCACUGUGCAUAUUUCGUUGAAUAGUGUAAUUCUUCAUUUAUAAUCGCUCUAAGUACUGAAACUCGUGUGUUUUCUUUUUGUCACCGUAAAUGACGAGUUCUUCUUCGCCAGCGAAAGGAUAAAUGGAAAAUCUCAUGGACAGUGCUGUUGGAGGCGCGAAGAGAGAGAAAACAAACGAAAACAUGGAAACCGCUGAAUUACACGGAGUGAAAAACACAAAUUCCAUGUCCUUGCUGAGUGGAAAACUGUGAUAAAGAACAAGUGAUUGCAGUUCAACGUGGAAAUAGUCGUCAAUUCGUGGUGGUUUCUCACAUCAAGGAUACCGGAAUAGACCUAAUGUAGAGCUCAAAAUAUCGAAAUUUCAAAAGAAUGUCUUACUGCGAGCUAUAAAGAUGUCUACCUUACCGACAAGAGACAAUGGUGCGCGGAAGAUCCAAAAAUCGAUUCCACGUUUCUUCGUUUCUCUCUUCAUCGCUUCCUUCUUCACCUACUCCCCCUUCCUUCCCCUUCGUCCUCUAUCACAUCCCCUCCCUACAGCAACAUUGAGAUCGACCGAAACUAAGGGCUUGCAAAGACAAAAUGGCGACAACCACACCGUGAGAAAUUAUUUCUCUACACCAGAAAUUUCAAAAUCACCAGGUGAUUUCCGGCUUCAGAAACUGAUGUCAACUCUACAAUAUAUAAUUUCAAGAUUUCCCGAGCUUGGUCGCCAGUUUCUGGCGGUAGAUGCCACUAUAGUUGACCGGCGUCUUGCCCGCCGCCGUAGCGUCUUCUAAGCAGCCAUUGACAAAGUAUUUCAUGUCAUUUACUUCUUGUAACAGAAACAGUGUCAACAUCAUUUUCACUGACCGACAGGUGCCGACAAUAAACCUUGGAAAAGUUCUCUGAUGCUUGUGUUUGGAAGCAGGCUGUACUUUCACAUAAGUCAGGCAGAGCAGUGAGAGGGGAGGAACAGAGUGGAGUUACUAAUUUAUAUACAGAAGUAACGUGAAUUAGCCUGGAUUUGACUUGUGAGACACAAAUGAUUGCAAAUAUGGUUGACUUCGCAUUGAUGUUCUAUCGAUCCCAUAUCGUAUGUUAUUUUCAGUUUAUAUGAUCGAGAGGAUUUUCAAAGAAUGCAAAAAUUAAUUAAUAAAUUAUUGAUUAACUACGUAAAUAAAUAACUAAAAAUGAUAUAUAACUUACUACUUAACAUACUG